GACGAACGCUGGCGGCGUGCUUAACACAUGCAAGUCGAACGCUGAAGCUUGGUGCUUGCACUGGGUGGAUGAGUGGCGAACGGGUGAGUAAUACGUGAGUAACCUGCCCUUGACUCUGGGAUAAGCCUGGGAAACUGGGUCUAAUACUGGAUACGACAUGCCACUGCAUGGUGGUGUGUGGAAAGGGUUUUACUGGUUUUGGAUGGGCUCACGGCCUAUCAGCUUGUUGGUGGGGUAAUGGCCUACCAAGGCGACGACGGGUAGCCGGCCUGAGAGGGUGACCGGCCACACUGGGACUGAGACACGGCCCAGACUCCUACGGGAGGCAGCAGUGGGGAAUAUUGCACAAUGGGCGGAAGCCUGAUGCAGCGACGCCGCGUGAGGGAUGACGGCCUUCGGGUUGUAAACCUCUUUCAGCACGGAAGAAGCGAGAGUGACGGUACGUACAGAAGAAGCGCCGGCUAACUACGUG
rnacentral:rRNA from 1 species